rnacentral:misc_RNA from 1 species
UAUUGUUUUGUAUGCUUCCUUUACUCCAGCAACAUCAAAAUACUGCUAUUCAGAUGUUAUGCAUGCUUUCCCAUGUCAUAAUAAAUCAUGCUGCAGAUGAGCGAAUCAGUUUGGAAGAACUUCAUGAGAAGAUCAUGCCUGAAACUGGUUACCAAUUAUUACACAACUAUACUGACCAAAUUCAAAAUUGGAGUUUGAUCUGCAAAGUUCAUUCUCAAGCUUCAAUAUCAUCUACCAGGUUGAAUGUAAUAUGGAUGAUUUGUACACGGAUGGAGAAAUCCUCAGCAUUCUCUAACAUUGAAAGGAAGGAGCAGAAACCUCACUGGCUCAUGGAUCAGGUGCUGGAAUAUUUUUUGAUUUAUUGCCCAUCUGUGUAGCUAUUUUAAUGGCUUAGUGUAGAGAUUCUAUACAUUGGUGCUUUUAUGGAGUUAACAUUGCAAUGCGAUUUUUUUUUAUAAAUGCAGUACUGUUAAUUGCAAAAGAUAUAGACUCACUUAAUCCUGAAUACAGACUGGUAUAUGUAUCAACUAUCAAUUAUACUACUCACAUAUCUACUCUGUCCCUCCAGCGUAUCUUCUCUUUAUAGGAGCAAGUUUUUGGUUGUUAUUUCGUGAGCAGGUUGCUUGGAUUAGUUUCUAUGUGGAGUAGUUGCUUGAAAAUCCAAAAUGAAAUGAACAGGCACCUCUCUUUAUCUGGUAACAUUAGGUAUUCCCCUCCCAGUAGUAAAAAUUUAUAGCUUCACAACCUGUCAACCCGACUAGUGGAAUUCCACCGACUAUGCAAGCGCUCUUAAGAAGGGAAGUUUGCAGACCGUUGCUCUCUUGGCUACGCUGCCACCUGAUGGAUCACUAAUUGAAGUGACCAAGGGAGUUGAAGCCUCUCAUAAGUUGCCUUGAGGGAACUUGAACGUGGUCCUGGAACGAGAUAUUGCGACAUAAAUGAGCCUCUCUUUAGAACCAAGCGCUUCUAUGAAGUCCCUUCUUCCCUUGUUUCUUGCCGUUCCA